AUUUAUGACAGACGGGUUACCCGCAGAUUGCGGAGUAUGCUUCCGAAUGCUUACGAAUGUGUGCCACAAUCGGUCGCAAUAGGGACUGGCCUAAGGAUCCGUCGCACGAUUGGGCGAGGCAUAUCGCGGUGCUCUCAAUGCGACGACAGAUAUAAGAAGUAAUCGGCAGAGCUUUAUACACAUUUUAUUCGAAUUUUACGGAUUAAUCGACAUCAAACGACACAGACUUGAAUCGUUUCGAUAUUUCAAAUCAAACAUUUGUUUAGUCGCAUUUCUAGUCACUAUGAUCACUCUUGAAACGAUCUUCUUAUUAAUAAUAGGAAAAAAAAGAGGGUAAAAAACGUAAUAGUUGUCGCGUAAUUCGGAAAAUUUUGUAGUACAUUGUUGUUGUACAGUGAAAAAUAAAAGCAUACAUCACUUGCAAACAAAACAGAAGAUCGUUUUGCGUUGUAAGGGCCGUUAAUGACAUUAUCUCGUACAUUAUCCCUAUUGUAUUAUUAUAAACCGCGUUGGCCAUUCCAUGCCCCCCUAAAAUUUCCACGUGUCGGAUAUAAUACCCGACGAGGGACAGUUUGGUAAUGGUUUCAUUCUAUUUUCCCUGUUCGUUUAUUUACAGGUGCCUGGAACGACCUCGCGUAAAGCGUAACAUAGUUUUUGUUUUUUCUCCUUAUUUUUUUUAACUUGUUCGCAAUGGAGAAGGUGCCCGACAAAUACCUUAUUUUAACGAUACAUUUCAACAUAAAUUGUGUUUCCACGCUCAACGCUUGAACACUUUACAAGGAGUGGUGCUUGGCCAUUGCGAAUCAGUUAAAAACAAUUUGGA